rnacentral:lncRNA from 1 species
CUAGACUUAAUAAAGUGAGUACUCGAAACUACUUUGAGUAAAAGGGAGCAAGAGCCACAUUAGUGUCAGCUUGCCUAUAAAGAUAUUGCAUAUACUUCUAUGAGGAUCGGGCUAUUCUUGUAAAAUUACUGAACUAAAAACAAGCAGGUUAAUUUGGGCAACUUUGCCAAGCCUCUCGAGUAGUCUCUUCACCCCAUCAUGAACAUGUGAUAACUUCUAAAUGAGGAAAAGGAGCACUUCAUCUUUUUUUCAUUUUUAUUAAUGGCACCAACAAAUAAGCCAAUAUACAUUGUUUAUAUUCAUACGCAUUCAACAAGAAAAGUGAUCGAGUAUUAUUUUGUUGAAGUACAUAACACUAUUAAAUACUGCUGAAUAGACCAUUAUACUAGGAGUAAAUUGGUCACAUCAAUGAAUUUUCUUUGGUAUAAAUCACUUGCAAACAACAAAAUUUGCUAUUGAGCAGAAGGCUUAUGUGUGUCUUCAUUUUAGAUCAAUGAGUGCUUGCCUUGGUGUAUAUCAAAAAGGGUGUACGUUUCUUUUACAACUUCUUCCUGUUAAUAGAAGCAAUGACAAGGCUCACGCACUAUAGUUGACACAUUCGAGCAUGAAGAACCAUAGCUACAUGAUCACAAAAGCAAUGUUAAUGAUGAUGCAUUAUAAGGCUAACACCCUACUCGUGAAUAUUAGGUAGAUGACACCAUCAAUAUGGAAACUUCCCAAAAUGAACACGUGGUUUUGACACAUUUCACUGGAGAAAAGUAAAUUCCAAGAACUUAGCUUCUUGAAAGCAAGAUCUAGAUAAGGGUCCUAGUUAUGUAAGAGGAUCCAAAAGAUUAAACAUUGCUUCAAGUCACACACGAAGCUUCAAGUCCAUAAAGGCAACUUGUAAAUGUAUUUGAUGGAUUGUUGGAUAAUACAUGACCCCCUCAAAGUGCAAUAUUAUGUUUCCUUAAACAUUAAGAUUCAUGCCAAUCAAUGGUUCGAGCUACAUGCGUGAAUGGUUUGUCUUUGGUGCACUUUCAGCCAAGAGAACGCUGCCCCAUGGGCAAUAUUCAAAAGGGAACUUGAAGUGUUCGAGCUCUCAAACGACAUAUGUACGUAGUAUACUAGUCUCUUGAAUCCGGCCCGUCCUAUAUAGCGUUUGUAUUACUUAUAUAGAAGCUUUGUUGAGUACUCCUCCCAAUGGGCCUACCCAUGUGACAAUUGUUGUGUUUCA